CGAACGCUGGCGGCAUGGAUUAGGCAUGCAAGUCGAACGAGAAACUUCGCUUCGGUGGAGUGGAAAGUGGCGAAAGGGUGAGUAACGCGUGAGUAAGCUGCCCUCAAGUUGGGAAUAAUACUUCGAAAGGGGUACUAAUACCGAAUGUGGUUAAUAAAUUGCAUAAUUUAUUAUCUAAAGAUUUAUCGCUUGAGGAUGUGCUCGCGUCCCAUUAUGCUUGUUGGUAAGGUAACGGCUUACCAAGGCUCUGACGGGUAGGUGGUCUGAGAGGAUGGUCACCCACACUGGGACUGAGACACUGCCCAGACUCCUACGGGAGGCUGCAGUCGAGAAUCUUCCGCAAUGGGCGAAAGCCUGACGGAGCAAUGCCGCGUGCAGGAUGACGGCCUUUGGGUUGUAAACUGCUGUCACAGGGGAUGAAUCAAUGACAGUACCCUGAGAGGAAGCCACGGCUAACUAC
rnacentral:rRNA from 1 species